rnacentral:rRNA from 1 species
AACGUACGCUGGCGGCACGCCUAACACAUGCAAGUCGAACGAAGUAGCAAUACUUAGUGGCAGACGGGUGAGUAACAUGUAGGUAUCUGCCCUUUGGCCUGGAAUAACACGAGGAAACUUGUGCUAAUACCGGAUAAGUCUUUACGGAGAAAGCUUUAUGCACCAUUGGAUGAGCCUGCACUUGAUUAGUUUGUUGGUGGGGUAAUGGCCUACCAAGACUGUGAUCAAUAGCUGAUUUGAGAGGAUGAUCAGCCACAUUGGGACUGAGACACGGCCCAAACUCCUACGGGAGGCAGCAGUGGGGAAUCUUGCACAAUGGAGGAAACUCUGAUGCAGCGAUGCCGCGUGAGUGAAGAAGGCCCUUGGGUUGUAAAGCUCUUUCGUCGGGGAAGAAAAUGACUGUACCCGAAUAAGAAGGUCCGGCUAACUUCGUGCCAGCAGCCGCGGUAAUACGAAGGGACCUAGCGUAGUUCGGAAUUACUGGGCUUAAAGAGUUCGUAGGUGGUUGAAAAAGUUAGUGGUGAAAUCCCAGAGCUUAACUCUGGAACUGCCAUUAAAACUUUUCAGCUAGAGUAUGAUAGAGGAAAGCAGAAUUUCUAGUGUAGAGGUGAAAUUCGUAGAUAUUAGAAAGAAUACCAAUUGCGAAGGCAGCUUUCUGGAUCAUUACUGACACUGAGGAACGAAAGCAUGGGUAGCGAAGAGGAUUAGAUACCCUCGUAGUCCAUGCCGUAAACGAUGUGUGUUAGACGUUGGAAAUUUAUUUUCAGUGUCGCAGGGAAACCGAUAAACACACCGCCUGGGGAGUACGACCGCAAGGUUAAAACUCAAAUGAAUUGACGGGGACCCGCACAAGUAGUGGAGCAUGUGGUUUAAUUCGAAGAUACGCGCAGAACCUUACCAACACUUGACAUGUUCGUCGCGACUCUAAGAGAUUAGAGUUUUCGGUUCGGCCGGACGAAACACAGGUGCUGCAUGGCUGUCGUCAGCUCGUGUCGUGAGAUGUUGGGUUAAGUCCCGCAACGAGCGCAACCCUCACUUUUAGUUGCCAUCAUUAAGUUGGGCACUCUGAAAGAACUGCCAGUGAUAAGCUGGAGGAAGGUGGGGAUGACGUCAAGUCCUCAUGGCCCUUACGUGUUGGGCUACACACGUGCUACAAUGGUAUCUACAACAGGAAGCAAGACUGCGAAGUUAAGCAAAUCCCUAAAAGAUACCUCAGUUCGGAUUGCGCUCUGCAACUCGAGUGCAUGAAAGCUGGAAUUACUAGUAAUCGUGGAAUCAGCGUGCCACGGUAAAUGCGUUCCCGGGUCU